GGCUCCAUAGCUCAAUUGGAUAGAGCAACUGCCUUCUAAGCAGUAGGUUUCGCGUUCGAGUCGCGAUGGAGUCA
rnacentral:tRNA from 1 species